CCUACGGGUGGCAGCAGUAGGGAAUCUUCCACAAUGGGCGAAAGCCUGAUGGAGCGACGCCGCGUGAGUGAAGAAGGACUUCGGUUCGUAAAACUCUGUUGUCAGGGAAGAACAUGUACAUACGUAACUGACUAUCCCUGGCUGGCACCUUAUUAGCAAGCCCCGGCUAACGACGUGCGAGCAGCUGCUGCAAUACGUAGGUGGCAAGCGUUGUCCGGAAUGACUGGGCGUAACGUGAGUGCAGGAGGGUUGUAAAGCCCGAUGGGAAAGCUCAGGGCUCAACCGUGGGAGGUCAUGGGGAACUGGGAGGCUUGAGUGCAGGAGGGGAAAGUGGAAUUCCGAGUGUAGCGGUGAAAUGCGUAGAGAUUAGGAGGAACACCAGUGGCGAAGGCGACUAGCUGGACUGUAACGGACGCUGAGGCGCGAAAGCGUGGGGAGCAAACAGGAUUAGAUACCCUUGUAGUC
rnacentral:rRNA from 1 species